rnacentral:tRNA from 1 species
GCUCCCGUAGUGAAGUGGAUAUCACGCGACCCUCCGGAGGUUGAAGCGCAGGUUCGAUUCCUGCCGGGAGCGCCA